rnacentral:sRNA from 1 species
CCUCCGAUCAAAAGGAGUGAUGCCAUGAAGCCCCGUACCCUGCUGACAAUUGCCGCCCUUGUGGCUGCGGCUGUCGCCAUCCCGGCGGCGCUGGCCAGCAAUCCGCCGCCGCCGGCGGCGGACAAGUCCACGGCAGAUUCUGCCGAAAAACCCACUGAUGAAGCCAAGGCCCGUGCUGCCCGCCGUGCUGCUGCCGCUGCUGCGCACCGUGCGCGUGGCGAGCAGGCGCCGCCGCAGCGCGAGGAAGAAGAGGAAGCCAAGCGCAAGCCGUAAGGCUUGCAGCUGCCGUUUGUGCGCCCCGGUCUGGAUCGGGGCGCACUUUUUUGUUUUCGCAGCCA